rnacentral:lncRNA from 1 species
GCCAGCUCAGCUGUGUGUGUGCCUCUAUAGUCACGUGUGUGUGUGACCACACAGUCACUUCUGUGUGUGCCUGCACUCAGUGUGGGGGCACAGUUGUGUGCUUGGACAGUUACGUGGGUGUGUGCCCAUGUGCGGUUUACAGGAAUUCUCAAGGCGAGCCUUGCACGUGUGCAGUUUGUGUGUAGCUUGCAUGUUUUCCAGUGGGCUGUUUCUGAAGGUGGAAUGAAGGGCGUAUGUGUGCACUGUGCAGUAGGGGAGAAGCCUGCACCCCAGGACAGGAGGGUUUUCCCGGCAGCUGCUGCUGGACAUGCAGUGCUAACGCAUCCAUCGCGGCCGGUCCUUUGCAUGUUUUAUUGAAGCAAGCAAGCCAGACCACUUGCAGCAGGGAGAUGUAUUGUAGGCCUUUUAGUGCCCUGACUCCAUGGGAGGUAAACACGAUCCCAGAGAAAACGACUCUCUGGGCAAGGUCUGGAACUUCCCUAAAGUGGUCAGAAAUCCUGCAGAAGGAAGAAGGCACCACUGUUCCUGCUUUCCGUUUGAGGCCCGUUGGUGAAAGGGUCGCCUUAAUAAAAAGAUUUUAAAAUGCCCCUGAAUCAGGUGCCAGCUCACCUUGGAUACAUGUGCAGCCCAAGGAGCCAAAGCUGCUUCCUGGUUGUUUGCUUUGGGAUGUCACUAGAUGACACAAGCAGAAAUGCUAGCACGUCUGACUUUACAGACGGCCCGGGCCCAGGCGUAGUCUGGGGGCUUCGGAGCAACGCCUACAUAAUGCGUUGAGAGGAUUUCUCUGAGCUAACAUUUUGUGUGAAUAUGCACUUCAGCUGCGGACUCAUUUCUUUUCAAAAAUUCCUUUUCUAUGUUGGCAAGCGUCUCCAUGCCUGCUAACCAUUCAGAUGGACGAGGAUGCCUUCCACAUGGUCACGGCUUCCCCAGGGACCCCCUGAGACACACCGCAGGGCAGGGCCCUGAUGGGAACGAUUAGCAAGGUCUCCCAGCUGCCAGCAGCGGUGAACCAUUACCUCAGCGUGCUCCUGGCUGAUUCUAAACCCGAGC